UACGUAGGGUGCAAGCGUUGUCCGGAAUUAUUGGGCGUAAAGAGCUCGUAGGCGGUCUGUCGCGUCUGCUGUGAAAACUCAGGGCUUAACCCUGAGCUUGCAGUGGGUACGGGCAGACUAGAGUGCGGUAGGGGAGACUGGAAUUCCUGGUGUAGCGGUGAAAUGCGCAGAUAUCAGGAGGAACACCGGUGGCGAAGGCGGGUCUCUGGGCCGUAACUGACGCUGAUGCACGAAAGCUAGGGGAGCAAACAGG
rnacentral:rRNA from 1 species